ACAGAUUCAAGUCCUUGCUCAUACCCUGAUUAUUGAGAGCCCAACAUUGGAAGCAACAUACCUAGUGUUUUGGAGCAGUAUGCCAAAAGAUGGAUUUCCUUGAACAUUCUCAUCUGCCAGCUUUGUCUUGUUCUUUUGCACCAAUUAUGCGCUCCCGUGCUUCUUGGGUGUCGCUCCUCACCGGGUUGCCUUUGGAUUGGAUGGCACCUCCUCAUAGCCGGAUGUCCUGGAAAACACAGUUCGUCUCCUUUUUCUCUGUGAGGUCUCCUGUGGCUAUCCCGCCUUCUUUGCAGUGGCCUACACUGUGGCAGGCGGUGCUCAGUCUCUGUGUGGUUUGUACCUCUCCUGAAUGUCACCAGGAUUGAAAUUGAGGCUUUAGGCGUUAUGAAAGAAUGGAAGCAUGGCUGAGGGGAGAAACAUGGAUUCUGGGUAUUCUGAAAGUCCGACAAACAUUAGGGAGACCUUUGGAAUUAAGACGGUCUUUUCCAGGUUCGGUUCUCAGUGCUCUGUCAUGGGCCCUGCUCUCUAACAAAUGUCCUUUUCAGUCUUGUAUUGCUUUCUCUCACAAAGGGGAAUCCGUUCUUCAUCGCUUCUGUAUCACUUUUGUUCUGUUAUUGUUGUUUAAAUGAAGAAACAAAGAUGGAAUUCUAGAUUGUCUCCUACAUAUAUUUUCUAUUUUCUUACCAAAUAGAAGGAAGGGUACACACCAAGGAACAUUUUACAGUCAACUACUGUUUUAAAGGAGGCUAAAAUUCAUCCCUUUGGGUGAAUUAAAGAAGAAGCUGUUCCUCUGUCUGCAGAAGGCUUUGGAAGGCUGUUGUGGAAUACUAUUUUAAGGGUCUGAAACAACUCCGUGAAUAAGGGAUUUCUUUGACAACAAAACAAAAGCCAACACUUCGUCCUUUUGAAUAGAUAAGCCUUCAUGGAAGAGUGGUCUUACUAGUCUGCUUUCCACUCCUGUCCCUGGUCCAGCCUUUGGUAAACUCUGUGAAGUUCACUAGUGUUCUGUGACGGGUUUUGUGUGUGUUGUGCAAUUGAAGGGGAGAUGACCUAGAUGUCAAGGACAGAGACCACGAAAUGAGAUGAGGAUUAUAGUUCAAGCAAUUUGUUUGGAGGAACAUCUCAGAAAAUACACACAGAGAAGAGAAGAGAAGAAAAGAGGUGUGAUGAUAAGGAUGGAAGCCCUUAGCUACUGUUCCAGCACCAUGCCUGCCAGCCUGAUGCCAUGCUCCCCAACCUUGAUGGUCAUGGACUCACAUUCUGAAACUGUAACCAUGGUCUGGGACACGGCCCAGGUUAAAACCCACAGUCCCAUCUCCUCAUUCUGCCUCCGUGACUCUCUACUCAUGGCUUUCCAGGGCUUCUUAGUUCUGAGGUGGAUCCAGUUGAGAUGUCCCAAACUCACGUGAUGGGUCUGUACUGACUCCACAACACGCAGAAUGUGGACACGCCAGAGCCCAUGGAUGUUGGGUCUACAGAGAAGCAAUGAAGUAUCGUAGAACCAGAUAACUGCACGGAAGCCGAGAGGCUGUCUUGAAGGAUGGAGAAGCUGCCCAGACUGACAUUCUCAUUCGUGGGAGUGAGUUUUUAGAGAAAGCAAGCAGUGACGACUUCAUUCCUCUGAAAUAAUGGACUCCAGGGUUCUCUGAAGAAAUAUAGAGCCACAUGGUGCUCCAUCAAUUUCAUUACUCUUAUUACCAUCACUCUGAUUUUAAUUCGAUUUAAAAUUUUUAUUGGUACUAAUUGUAGCAGUUAUGAAUGUUGAUGUUAUUUUCUGCCAUUUCUAAUUUCUAUAAAGAGCACAGAUCUUUGCUUCUUAAUAAUUGAAAAUGAGUCCUUAAUGGAUUCAUGCAUUCAUAUGGAAUUCCAAUCUGUGGCUUUGACAUUAUAGGCUAGCAUACAGAUUCUCAACUCUUUUUAAAAUGAUCUAAACCCAGUAAGGUUCUGUAUGUAUGUGUUAAUAAUCAGUUUUAUUUCAUUAUGAGG